UGUCUUGCGAGAAAACAUAAACAUCAUUGUGCUGCACGGCUUCAAAACAAGUCUAAGACUCACAAAAGCAUUUGCCAAAAAGGGUACAGGACUUAGGGUACUGAGAUAGACCUAUAGGACAGAUGUUCCUCUAGAAAGGUAAGAUGACAAUUCAUGUGGGUGUCCAGACUUCCCACCAAAAGUUUCACCGAAGGGUUCAUCCCAAAGAUUUUGCAUGGCGAGUAUAAAUAUGACAAGACAGCCAUUAUGGAGGUGUACUUAUAAUGGUUAUCCUCACAUGCUGAAGCAAAAGUAAACCUCUGUUUGUUUGCUGGUUUUGAUGCAGAAAUGGAAUCAUGGGACAACUCUUGGACGACUGCGAAAAGACUGUGGACUGUGGCGGUCUGCUCCAACGCUCUGUGGGUGGGAACACACACCAGUGUCCUCAGCAGCCCCAAAGCAUCACUGCAGCCCUGGAAUAAGCAGGCUUGAACCCAUGGCCUGCGACUCAGCAGGCCAACGGCGCCUGUCGGCUGAGCCCAGAAUGCCAUUUCUACACCAGAUGUAUUUGUAAGAUUUGGUAGUGCGACUACUUCAAAGUCUGACUUGAUUGUUUUUGAUUGGUAUGAUUAUUCAGUGUUGCCGUCUUUUUCUUUAUUUCUUGGGGGAAAAGAUAUUAUCAUUCAACCACACUUAUUUAAUUGCAGCAAUUGGAGCCACUCUAAUUGGGCCUAGCCUUUCAUCUGAAAUGGUAAUGAUUAUGAGAUUGUGCUUGUGCUGAGCGGCCUAGUCUGAUGAGCAAAAGUUUGCAUGAUAUGACUCCUUUAGUCUGGAUUAGUGUGUUUUUUAAAUAUUUUAUUUGAGUCUUAUCUCACAGUGAAUUCUUUUUUAAUUUUUAAUCCAAUAAUUUUGACUCACCCCCCACCCACAGUUCUUCCAUUCCCCCUCAUUGUUCUUUCUUCUUGAUGUUUGUAACUGAUUUGAUCUUUGUAAUGGAGGUCUUGAAUAAGUAAACACUGAAAGCCUGCUCAAAAUGUCAGCAUGUUUUGUCAGAGCUAAGCAGAUAUUUAAAGAGCAUCUUAUCAUGUUGAUUUAAGCAAUUAAACAUGAAGUUGCCCUCUGCAA